UAGGGAAUAUUGCACAAUGGGGGAAACCCUGAUGCAGCGACGCCGCGUGAACGAAGAAGGUAUUCGUAUCGUAAAGUUCUGUCCUAUGGGAAGAUAAUGACAGUACCAUAGAAGAAAGCUCCGGCUAAAUACGUGCCAGCAGCCGCGGUAAUACGUAUGGAGCGAGCGUUGUCCGGAAUUAUUGGGCGUAAAGGGUACGCAGGCGGUUUAAUAAGUCGAAUGUUAAAGAUCGGGGCUCAACCCCGCAAAGCAUUGGAAACUGAUAAACUUGAGUAGUGGAGAGGAAAGUGGAAUUCCUAGUGUAGUGGUGAAAUACGUAGAUAUUAGGAGGAAUACCAGUAGCGAAGGCGACUUUCUGGACACAAACUGACGCUGAGGUACGAAAGCGUGGGGAGCAAACAGG
rnacentral:rRNA from 1 species